rnacentral:lncRNA from 1 species
ACCCUGAACUCUUGUUGCAGGUAGACCUCAUCCGAACUCCUACAAGGGCCAGACUCCGAGCUUCUACUGCAAGCGAUCUACUCUGAGCUUCUACUGCAGGCUUCGACCGAGCUUCCUCGACAAAUGAUCCCCAUCUGGGCUUCUAUGGAGAUGGGACUCCGAUCGAACUUUUGUAGCAGACAGAUUUCGGACGAACUCCUAUGACACAUGGACUCCAGCAGCCAGACCCCUCCAGUGGAUGAACCUCUCCAGCACCAUCCAACAUCUACUGCCGGUCGACCCUCUGCCGAAUUCUGCAUGAAAUCGAACUUCAUCUACGGAAAGCCUCUGACCGAGCUCCUACAGCAAAUGGCCCUCGCCUACAGUAUUAACGCCCAAGGCAUCCAACGAUAGAAGGCUCGCCAGCAACAUCCAAGCUCCUCUCAGAUGGAUAGCUACCUCUCUCUGCCAGACACCUCAACCGAGCUUCAGCCGAUAGGCCUGGACUCCCUAGCAGGCCAUAGUAAUGGCCAUGACUCUGCUCCACUUCCUGCGAUGGAUUCCACAUGGCUUCACCACUCUCUGGCAAGUCACGACAACGGACACUACUCCACUCCCCGCAACAGGCUCCACGUGGUAGGCCACGGUGAUAGCCACGACUCCACUCCACUACUCUUCAUAACAAACUCCUCCUGACCCCGAACGGCCCACUACCAGGCGGUUACAAAUGUCACUGUCAGUCUAUUGUACCCUCCGUCUAUAAAAAGGGG